GUUGGAUAGCAAGACGCACCACUCAGUCGCCUGUGCUGCUCGGUAAAUCGCCUUGAGCGCCCCGAGAAGCCUCGCUGAUUUGAUGCAUGGUUUUGCUUUGCCCACGCUCUUCGGGUAAUGCCCGUUAUUUCAAACAUGCUAAUCAGAGAGGAAUUUCUCAUGGCUACAGGUACAGUUAAGUGGUUCAACGACGCUAAAGGUUUUGGUUUCAUCGCUCCGGCUGACGGUGGUGACGAUCUGUUCGUUCACUUCUCCGAAGUCCAGGCUGAUGGCUUCAAGACUCUGCAGGACGGCCAGCAGGUCUCCUUCGACGUGACCCAGGGCCAGAAAGGCCUGCAGGCAGCCAACGUCAAGGCUAUCGACUGAUCAUCACUCAUUGCGGAAUGCUUUCCGCUUGAGAUGAUAGAUGUCAAGAACCGCCCCAGCUCAUGCUGGGGCGGUUCUG
rnacentral:sRNA from 1 species